rnacentral:lncRNA from 1 species
CGAAUUUUCUUUAAGUCAAAUCUAGUCUCUAGAAGAGUUAGUGAUGACUUCCUAAAUUAUUAGUGUUUAAAUAAGAUAAAAUUUCUCCAAUUUCGACUUUUUAUCAUGUGGGAAAUUGAAUUAUCUUUCCAACAAUAUCAAUUUUGUCCAAAUCUGGUAUCGAAGUAAAAAGUUAUGGACAUUUUAUAGAUAACUGUUGGAACUGCCCAAAAGCGACGGUCAGGAUGACGGACCGUCGAGCUAGCGAUGGACCGUCACCCAAGCCGUUGUGACUAAGGCAGUGAACCCAACUUCUGGUCAAGUGCAAUGUCCAGGACCAAUGGACCAUCAAUUUAGCGAUGGACUAUCGCCCAAACUGUCACAAAUGAGGCAGAAAGUUUAGGUUCUGGCCAAGUGCGAUGGUCAGGACUGACGGACCAUCGAGCUAGCGAUGGACCGUCGCCCAAACCAUCGCCACUUCUGAUCAGUGGUUUUAAUCCAUUUUUAAAAAGGUAUUUGGGUCUUUUUCCACCCUUUUUAACCCCUAAUUAUACUAGACCAGAGCUCAUAACUUCUUUAUUCAUCUAUAACACCAAAUUAGGGUUUCUCUCAAAGAUCAAUCCCUAAGAAUAAGAAACCCUAGGUGUUUAAUCCCAAGCCAAGUAUUUAAGCUUUUGUCUACCAAUCUUUAAGAAAUCAUCCACCCAGGUAUGUCAAGUAUUAAUUUAUGGGUUCCUUUUACCCAUGAAGCUCAAGAAACCCUAUUUGAAAUAUAAACUUUGGAUUCUAUGGUAUGAAUUAAAUUAUAUCCAUGUUUAUGUUGUUGUUUGAUUUCCAAGUUGAAAUUUUUAAUGACUAUCAUGAAAAUAUGUUACCAUGUGGUUGAAGUUCUUACGUUGGAAGUGUAAAAUGUUUCCAUGAUGUAUUAUUUCAAUAUUCAUACCUAAAGAUAUGCAUGCAAGGUGUUUGAUAAAAUGCCUAAGAGAAUAGAAAUUAUGCCUUAUGACUCAUUUGUGACCAAAAUUGAUGAAUCCAUGUUUAUUCCUUAUGUUUGAUAUGAAUCCCACGCUAUUGUUAUGCUUUGUAAUGGAUUGAUGUAAUGCUCAUGAAAUUAGGAUUAUGAAAUUAUGAUAUGUUUACAUGCAUUCCUAUUCAUGUGUAAGCUUAUAGCAUGCGAAUACGUCAUGAAAAUCCCCAAUGAUUGGACUAUGAAUUGUUAAUUAUGGUCAUAUGUCAAGAAGUGUCAUGUCUUAUUAGUUUUAUGCUAUAAGUCCUGAGGGUACUUGUACCCAACAAUUUAGCUGUGUGCCUAGAGCUAGUGUCAUGUUUUCCAGAUACUCUCAGUCAAGACAUGAUUCAUAGAACUCAGUCAGUCAUGUGACUCAUGAAAACUCAGUAAACUCAGUAAUUUUAGAAAUUUAGUACUCUCAGUAGUGUUCCGUCAGUCAAUGGAACUUAAUGAACGUAGUACAGUCCAUUUCAAUUAAUCAAGUUUAGUUUUUUUCAGAUGAGAGUAGGAUUCAGCACCAAAUGAGCCCAGGAUGGGAACUCACUUGUUGUUAGGGGUUGUGAUUCUUAGAAGCCAUCCAUGCGCUCCAGAACUACGUAGCCAGCGUAGUUUGAGACAUCAAACCUGUUAGUUGAGGGUAGAUGAGGUAGCUUAAUGUAACAGCCCAAUUUUUCUAAACCAGAAUGCUACAUGGUGCUUAUGACCUCGAAGGACCACAAGCUAACCCAUGAGUGAUAUAUGUACCGGUACACUGCAUAAUAUACAUGUAAAAUGCGAAAAACAUGAACAAUAGGCCAUAACGUUUAACUGAAUAAAGUGUCUGACAAAACAUAAUAUCCAUAUGGGUGACAAAUACCUAAACCAACUGAAGUGUGAAUCAAAUCUGAGGUAAAUCUGAAAGCUUCUAUGUACUGUCUGAAAUAAGGAAUUGAAGGAACAUGUCUCCAACGAACUCCAUCUGGCAAAACUGAACUGAAAUAAUAAAUGAAAAAAAAAUAAUAUCGUCCUUUGAUGGAUGAGGACUCACUGCAACCCUGCGUACUGGAAUGAUACUGCUACUGCUGAUCGAAAACUUAUGACUCUGAAGCUAUGGUGUAACAUAAAAGAAGGCACCAUAGCUCAAAUCAUCAAUACAACUAAAAGUACUGAGUAUACGAGUGGGGUAGGCUAAAUUCAAGGGUUUACAUGCAUGAACAAUGCCCACGAAUGGUAUAAUAUGAACGUGAGAGUGUAAAUAUACAUACAUAGUAACUAAAAUCGUAAAUGCGUGAUAACUUGAUCUAUACGCUAAUACAUGGUUUGCUGAUAUCUAACAUAAUUGGUACUGUAAUUCUAAUAACAUGGAUGACUAUGUCUAACAGUCCUAAAUAUGAUGGAACUAUCUGUGCUCCGUUCUAUAACUAAAUUAACUGUAUCUGACAGUCCUGAUAUACUGAAAUCUGAAAAACCAUCUGAGUUCUUUUAUUGAGACUGAGUAUGAAACUGUGGGAGGUAGUUGUUUAACCGACAUGCCCUAAAAAUAUGUAUAGCUGAGUUAGGGUCCAAUCUCUGCCCCAACUGGAGGGCUCUCAAUACUACACCACUGGUAAGGACAGCUGUGAGUGACCCUUGUCUGGUAGGUACUCAAAAUGAGAACGGUGGGAACCCUAAACUGACAGGUUAAGAUGUCUCAACCUACGCUGGCAACGUAGUUCUAGAACACAAGGAUGACUGCUAAGAAUCACACCCUAAACUGGCAGAUGGGGUUCACUCGGUGCUAACUUCUACUCCCAUCUGAAAAGACUGAACAUGAUUUAACUGACUAUAUAUCGACUGAGUAACUGACUUCCGUUGAAUGACGGAAUAUUAUUACUAUCUGAAAAUUAACUUAGAUCAUGAGAUUUCUGAGAUUUUCUGAGUUACAUGACUGACUGAGUUCUAUAGAUCAUAGCUUGAUUGAGAUUAUCGUGAUAACAUCACAUGGCUCUAGGUACAUAGCUACAUUUUUCGGGUACAAGUUCACCUAGGACUCAAUGGAAGGAAACUGACACACAUGACUGGCCUGAUUGUAAGAGUAAAGUCCACAAUUUACAAUAUCAUAGGUAGGGGAUUUCACACUAAGCAUAGUUCUCAACAUCUUAAUACAUAGAAGGGAAAUUCAUACAACAUGUGUAUACUUGCGUAGCAUAAAUAUCAUACUCAAUCCAUAGCACAACAAUAAUGCAUAUCAAUUAUGUGGAAUUCAUGUGAAAUCAUAAAGCAUAAAGCAUGGACUGGUUAUUUAAGUACUAUCAAACACUUUGCAUGCAUUCUUUUAGCAUAUGUGUGUGUUCAUGAAUUUCACAAUAUUAAGCCACCAAAGAACAUGGGUUUCAACUAAUAACCACAAAUACUUCAUGAAAAACACCUUUAGAUAUCAUCUUGAAACUUAAAGAAAAAUCAUUAACAUAUACAUGCCAAUAUCACAACAAGAAAGUCACAAAAUAGUAUUUAAAAUAUGGUUCUUGAGCUCUAUGGACGAUAUAUAUCCAUAGAUGAACACUACACAUACUCGAGAUUAAGAAUCCAUGGAAUUUACGGUGAAAUCAGCUUGAAUCUUGAAAUCCCCUAUUGAACCCUAGACUUGUUCUUUGUUGUUCUUGAG